AUCUUUGAUCAUGGUCUCGCGAAAACUUGUAUUUAAAACCCCACUCUUAUAAAUUGAAUCAUUUUAUAUUAUGUAUGUAAUAAAUAAAGAUCACUUUCAACAACGGAUCUCUUGGCUCUCGCAUCGAUGAAGAACGUAGCGAAGUGCGAUAAGUAAUG
rnacentral:rRNA from 1 species